rnacentral:rRNA from 1 species
ACGGGUGCGUAACGCGUAUGCAAUCUGCCUUUCACAGAGGGAUAGCCCAGAGAAAUUUGGAUUAAUACCUCAUAGUAUUAUUGGGUGGCAUCACUUAAUAAUUAAAGUCACAACGGUGAAAGAUGAGCAUGCGUCCCAUUAGCUAGUUGGUAAGGUAACGGCUUACCAAGGCAACGAUGGGUAGGGGUCCUGAGAGGGAGAUCCCCCACACUGGUACUGAGACACGGACCAGACUCCUACGGGAGGCAGCAGUGAGGAAUAUUGGUCAAUGGACGCAAGUCUGAACCAGCCAUGCCGCGUGCAGGAUGACGGUCCUAUGGAUUGUAAACUGCUUUUGUACGAGAAGAAACAACAUUACGUGUAAUGUCUUGACGGUAUCGUAAGAAUAAGGAUCGGCUAACUCCGUGCCAGCAGCCGCGGUAAUACGGAGGAUCCAAGCGUUAUCCGGAAUCAUUGGGUUUAAAGGGUCCGUAGGCGGUUUAGUAAGUCAGUGGUGAAAGCCCAUCGCUCAACGGUGGAACGGCCAUUGAUACUGCUGAACUUGAAUUAUUAGGAAGUAACUAGAAUAUGUAGUGUAGCGGUGAAAUGCUUA